GACGGCGUAGCUCAGCUGGUAGAGCACAUCUGCUCCCACUUUUGGUCGAGUCAUGGGCAGAUGAGGACGCGGGUUCGACCCCCGCUGCCGUCA
rnacentral:tRNA from 1 species